rnacentral:rRNA from 1 species
GUUAAGGGUUUCGGGCGCGAAUUCGCCCUUCAGGCCUAACCAUGCAAGUCGAACGGAACUGUUUUGAAAGACUUCUUCGGAAUGAAUUUGAUUUAGUUUAGUGGCGGACGGGUGAGUAACGCGUGAGUAACCUGCCUUUAAGAGGGGGAUAACAUUCUGAAAAGAAUGCUAAUACCGCAUGACAUAUCGGAAUCACAUGAUUCUGAUAUCAAAGAUUUUAUCGCUUGAAGAUGGACUCGCGUCCGAUUAGUUAGUUGGUGAGGUAACGGCUCACCAAGACCGCGAUCGGUAGCCGGACUGAGAGGUUGAACGGCCACAUUGGGACUGAGACACGGCCCAGACUCCUACGGGAGGCAGCAGUGGGGGAUAUUGCGCAAUGGGGGCAACCCUGACGCAGCAACGCCGCGCGAAGGAUGAAGGUUUUCGGAUUGUAAACUUCUUUUAUUAAGGACGAAAUUUGACGGUACUUAAUGAAUAAGCUCCGGCUAACUACGUGCCAGCAGCCGCGGUAAUACGUAGGGAGCAAGCGUUGUCCGGAUUUACUGGGUGUAAAGGGUGCGUAGGCGGCUUUGCAAGUCAGAUGUGAAAUCUAUGGGCUCAACCCAUAAACUGCAUUUGAAACUGUAGAGCUUGAGUGAAGUAGAGGCAGGCGGAAUUCCCCGUGUAGCGGUGAAAUGCGUAGAGAUGGGGAGGAACACCAGUGGCGAAGGCGGCCUGCUGGGCUUUAACUGACGCUGAGGCACGAAAGCGUGGGUAGCAAACAGGAUUAGAUACCCUGGUAGUCCACGCUGUAAACGAUGAUUACUAGGUGUGGGGGGUCUGACCCCUUCCGUGCCGGAGUUAACAACAUAAGUAAUCCACCUGGGGAGUACGGCCGCAAGGUUGAAACUCAAAGGAAAU